UACGUAGGGGGCAAGCGUUAUCCGGAUUUACUGGGUGUAAAGGGAGCGUAGACGGCAGUGCAAGUCUGAAGUGAAAGGCAAGGGCUCAACCCUUGGACUGCUUUGGAAACUGUGCUGCUGGAGUGUCGGAGAGGUAAGUGGAAUUCCUAGUGUAGCGGUGAAAUGCGUAGAUAUUAGGAGGAACACCAGUGGCGAAGGCGGCUUGCUGGACGAUGACUGACGUUGAGGCUCGAAAGCGUGGGGAGCAAACAGG
rnacentral:rRNA from 1 species